UACGGAAGGGGCAAGCGUUGUUCGGAAUCAUUGGGCGUAAAGGGCGCGUAGGUGGCUCUGUAUGUCUGCCGUGAAAGCAUACAGCUCAACUGUAUUGUGUCGGUAGAAACUGCAGGACUUGAGGCUGGGAGGGGCUGGUGGAAUUCCCUGUGUAGCGGUGAAAUGCGUAGAGAUGGGGAGAACACUCGUGGCGAAGGCGGCCAGCUAGACCAGUUCUGACACUGAGGCGCGACAGCGUGGGGAGCAAACAGG
rnacentral:rRNA from 1 species